rnacentral:misc_RNA from 1 species
UCAAAUAGGUGAGUUAUCUCUCUCUACUUGAUUAAGUAUACAUGCAUGAAAUUAAGUUGAAAUUGAUGAAUUUAAGUAAAGAAACAUGAAAAAUCAUGCAUGUAUGGAACCCUAUGAAAUUCGGCCAGCUUGUGAGAGUGAAGGAUUUGAUGAGUUAAAUUGAAUUAAACAUGUUUUGUGAUGUUUUAUGAGGUGUUAGGUAUAAUUAGUGAAGUGAAUUUGAUAUGAAUUAGACAAUUACAAAAUUAGGGUUCUCGGUGAUUAGG